ensembl:lncRNA
UUGUACAUACACGAUGGACAUUUAUUUUGAAGCUGUGUACGGUAUGUGUACAUGGUUGUUGUUUGCACACAUCAUCACAGUGAAAACAGAUCUGCAUUCUCAGUUACAAAGGAAACCGGUAUCUGUCAGUGUCACAAUAAAAAGUCUCAACAAAAGUUCCAUAGUUAAAUGAAUAACAGCUACUUUCAACAAACCUAGUACCCUGGACAUUACCUUAUGGCCUCCAUCUCCAGUAAAUAACUACUAAAAACACAAACAGUCCAAACACAUCAGAGACCAACGGGGGAGCAGCUGAGAAAUAAACCCAUUCUGUCACCAGAUCUCCCGGUUACCCACAAUGCACCUGGAGUUGUCCCUGCCGUAAUGGUGAUCUAAUUAAGGUUAUACUUAGUGGAGUACUACACUAUUUAGUCUCUCUCUCCACGCGUCCAUGCCUGCUGCAGUUGACAGACAGCUCCAGGCUGAGUGAUCCAACCUUAUUUACCCAGGUUGGUCUCUGUGACGUUAACCAUCUCUACCGGAGAGACCUGGCUGGUGCUUGUUAAACAAAAGUCUGUUUUCAAAACCUCGCGUGAACGUGCAUAUAAGAGGAGAACACACUGUCAUUUCCUCAAGAUUACCUCUCCACUUUAUACGCAUCUCUCAGUGGAAUCCAGACACAAGCAAAGGGCCCCGAGGUAAAAUCAAAUGGGUUUAUAACUCCACACCCUUCCCCCCAGGUCCACCACAAAUAAAUAUCUUCUCUUUAUAUCUGGGAGGUUAAAGUUCAGCACAGCAGCGGAGUACAGGAGCCCUCAAGGUCCAAACACCCGCAGCUCGUUAGGGCUUGUGGUUAAUUGAUCCGGGCUCACUCAGCAAGCGGCUCCUGGCCAGCUAUCAUAGGGUUGUUAAAUUAAAAGCUAAUUAGAGGAGGAAGUGACAUCAUGAGACAGGAUUACGCUGCCUGAGUGGGCUCUCAACGAUCACCAGGAGUUCUCACCGGGGGCCCCAAAAACUAGGGGACCUCCACUCUGUUGAUAAGGCCCUUCAAUAUGCUGUAGGUAAGGUUGGUGAGGUGUAAAGAGAGAGCACAACACAGCAUAAAGAGCAUGAUUUUGAAAAAAUAAACAUAAAAAACGUCCCGCCCUCUCUGCACCCUCCCUCCCUAUGUUUCUCAAGCAUUGAGAAUGCUUACAAUCACCACCUGUCUUUGACCGGGUGAAUACAUUACCCAAAUUAGGGAGAGAUGCCCUGAUUGGUCAGAAAUUAACCAGGUGUGGUCUAAAAAUUUAAAUAUUCUAAUACUAUUCUCAAAUUAUCACUCUUAAAUCUUCCCUACAGUACCUUCAAUCGAUGUAUUCUGUCUGAACAAAUGUACAUUAAAUUAAAUGUAUAAAACAGAGUAUGUAUAUAUGGGGCAUUAGCUGGGAGGCUAUUGCUAACGGUGUUGGGGUGUUUGCCACCAUGAGGGCAGGAUAGCAACAAAAGCUUUUUAAUCAUUCUUUACAGCAGAAUACAACUAUUUAAAUAAAUCUGAAACUGUAGAAACAAGGUUCAAGCUACGGUUCACUAGGCUAACCCCCUAGCUUCCAAAAGGUCUUCUGAAAAAAGACACCUGAAAAAAGUAGCUCUAUCAUCGUGCUAUCACCGUAUUGGUUAGUUAGAAACGAGAGCUACAGCCAAGGGUUCUGUUGCCCUCUGCCAGCCACGAGAAGCCGGCUCCCCCAUCCUGAAGCUCAGAAACACCUUGCUAUGGCUCUUUGAAAACACCAGUCAGGGCACUGGUCUCUGUUAGCAUCUACUUUACAAGCUAGGCAGCUAGCGGCUAGGGCCGAGCGACGGAGGGAAGGGAGGGGAGGAGGAGGAGAGGAGGUGGAGGAGAGGAGGUGGAGGACAAGAGGAGGAGGAGGAGAGGAGGUAGAGGACAAGAGGAUGGAGGAGGAGAGGAGUGAGGGAGAGGUCAAUAAGGUGGAGUGGAUGGACGGGGAUGAAGAAGACAUGAUGGCGUCUGAACGGGGGGACCCUGGUUUUUACACGUUCGUCCGACACUUUGGGAAGAUGGGUCCUCCUUCAAGCCUUCUCUUUCUUACUGUGAACAAAGAUAGAAAGGGGGAGAGAGAGAGAGAGAGAGAGAGAGAGAGAGAGAGAGAGAGAGAGAGAGAGAGAGAGAGAGAAAAAACAUAAGACACAGAAGAGAGAAGGGGGUAGGUGAGAUUAGAAAUAGGUAACACAUACUGUUAUGACUACAGUUCAAGCCGAGUGUUGGAGGCUUAGAGAUUAUAAAGUCUUCCAAUUGAGACUUCUUCACAAGGUGGGGACGCUUCGCGCUCUUGACAAGGGCUUCUGAAACCCUCUGAGGACCAGAAAGACAAUGAAUUGGGACCCAUUUUGGGUCUGCACCCAGUGCUAUGAGACCCUGCUCUAGAGUAGAACACAUCCCAUCGGUUCUCAUGAAAGAGUAAGUGGUUGUUGUUUUAACGAGUGUUCAAGCAGGCAGGCUGGGCAGAGACACAGAGGAGACCAAGCACUUCUCUACAAGUGGCUGUCACAGUCAAGAGCUGAGAUCAUCUCCUUCAGGAGUUUAGACCUCUAGAGAGGAGAGCAGAGGAGAGGAGAGAGGUGAGGGGAGGAGAGAAGAAGAAGAAGGUGACAUCAUGGAAAGCAGCUAUCUUCUGGAGCAAGGAAAAGAGAAGAGAAGAUGUGGAAGACGAGGGUGCAUCCAUUUUAUGAUCAGCACAAGAGACAUUCUGAAGAAGAGGAGGAGGAGGAGGACUAGUUUCCUCGGGCAGGAGGGAGCAGGACAGCAGCAGAGGUCGCAGCGUGGCAGCCCAGAGGUCAGAGGUCAUUACUUGGUACGGGGCUUGAACUUCUUCCCCAGGGCGCGCUCCAGCUCCGCUACGGAGAGGGUGAGGGUGAAGGAGCCGUCAGUGCCAGGGUCACACCGGACCACCCGGGCUAGCACCACCACGGAGCACACGUUAGGACGCACAGACACACACACACACACACACACAUACACACGUCACACGGACACACACACACAAACUCAGAACGUCUGUCAUAAUCCAGGAGGGCAGUUUGAUUGGCCGGGGCUGACCAGGAGGUGUUCCUGACUGAUGACAUCCAGAUGUUACAGGUGUGGUCAGCGCGUUGUAUUCAGCGCACCUUGAACUGACCAAAGUGAUGUUUAAUUGACAUAUCACGGGCCACCUAAAUGCUGGUCGGAGUCAUGUGUGCAUGUGUAUAGAUGAAUGUGCUUGUGCAUGUGUGUUCGUACGUAUGUGUAUGUAUUAAUGUGUGUGUGUGUGUGUAUGUGCAUGCAUGUGCGUACAUUAAUGUGUCUGUGUAUAUUAAUGCCCAUGUGCAUAUGUGCAUCUGCGUGUGCAUGUUUGUGUUUGUGUGUUUGUAUUAAUGUGCGUGUGCGUGUGUUUCUGCAUGUGUGUGCGUGGGAAUUAACGUGUGUGUAGGUGUGCAUGCGUGUGUAUGAAUGUGGUUGUGUGUGUGUAUUAAUGUGUGCAUGUGUGUGUGUAUGUGUGUAUGCGUGAGUAUUAAUGUACGUGUGUGUGUGUGUGUGUGUGUGUGUGUGUGUGUGUGUGUGUGUGUGUGUGU